rnacentral:lncRNA from 10 species
GGAGCCCAAGAUUGACCAGAAGAAGGGCUACUUCUCUAGCACCUCAGGAUCCUGUCUCCAGCAGCACAGAACACCCUACUGAAUACCCUGAAUACUCCAUGCUGUUUCAUGCCUCUGUGCCUUUGACCACCUUCUUCUUUUGUCUGGAAUACCACCCUGGCCACCUGAUGAAUGCAUCCUUCAAGACCUAUCACAAGCGAGUCCUCCUCUAUGAUGCUUGCUUGAAUCCCCUCCCUCCCUGAUUGCAGCUGAUGCUGUUACCUGCUCUUAUCGUUAUCUGUGACACUAUCUCAUGAUUUCAAAUACUCAU